rnacentral:rRNA from 1 species
AUUGAACGCUGGCGGCAGGCCUAACACAUGCAAGUCGAGCGGAGCGGCGGACGGGUGAGUAAUGCCUAGGAAUCUGCCUGGUAGUGGGGGAUAACGUCCGGAAACGGGCGCUAAUACCGCAUACUAUCAGAUGAGCCUAGGUCGGAUUAGCUAGGUGGGGGGGAAAAGGCCUACCAAGGCGACGAUCCGUAACUGGUCUGAGAGGAGGAUCAGUCACACGGGAACUGAGACACGGUCCAGAAUCCGACGGGAGGCAGCAGGGGGGAAUAUUGGACAAUGGGCGAAAGCCUGAUCCAGCCAUGCCGCGUGUGUGAAGAAGGUCUUCGGAUUGUAAAGCACUUUAAGUUGGGAGGCGUUACCCGCAGAAGAAGCACCGGCUAACUCCGUGCCAGCAGCCGCGGUAAUAC